rnacentral:rRNA from 1 species
AGGGAAUCUUCCACAAUGGACGCAAGUCUGAUGGAGCAACGCCGCGUGAGUGAAGAAGGUUUUCGGACCGUAAAGCUCUGUUGUUGGUGAAGAAGGAUAGAGGUAGUAACUGGCCUUUAUUUGACGGUAAUCAACCAGAAAGUCACGGCUAACUACGUGCCAGCAGCCGCGGUAAUACGUAGGUGGCAAGCGUUGUCCGGAUUUAUUGGGCGUAAAGCGAGCGCAGGCGGAAGAAUAAGUCUGAUGUGAAAGCCCUCGGCUUAACCGAGGAAUUGCAUCGGAAACUGUUUUCUUGAGUGCAGAAGAGGAGAGUAGAACUCCAUGUGUAGCGGUGGAAUGCGUAGAUAUAUGGAAGAAUACCAGUGGCGAAGGCGGCUCUCUGGUCUGCAACUGACGCUGAGGCUCGAAAGCAUGGGUAGCGAACAGGAUUAGAUACCCUGGUAGUCCAUGCCGUAAACGAUGAGUGCUAAGUGUUGGGAGGCUUCCACCUCUCAGUGCUGCAGCUAACGCAUUAAGCACUCCGCCUGGGGGAGUACGACCGCAAGGUUGAAAC